rnacentral:rRNA from 1 species
GAUGAACGCUAGCGGCAGGCCUAACACAUGCAAGUCGAGGGGCAGCAUAAGGAUAGUUUACUAUUCUGGUGGCGACCGGCGCACGGGUGAGUAACGCGUAUGCAACCUACCCUGUACAGGGGGAUAGCCCGAAGAAAUUCGGAUUAAUACCCCAUGGUAUUGAGACAUCGCCUGAUGUUUUAAUUAAAGGUUACGGUACA